GAAACAUCAGGCCGGGUGCGGUGGCUCACGCCUGUAUGGGAGGCCGAGGCGGGUGGAUCCCGAGGUCAGGAGAUCGAGACCACGGUGAAACCCCGUCUCUACUAAAAAUACAAAAAAAUUAGCCGGGCGCGGUGGCGGGCGCCGGUAGUCCCAGCUACUCGGGAGGCUGAGCCAGGAGAAUGGCGUGAACCCGGGAGGCAGAGCUUGCAGUGAGCCGAGAUCGCGCCACGGCACUCCAGCCUGGGCAACAGAGCGAGACUCCAUCUUAAAAAAACAAAAAAAAGAAACAUCAGUGGAAGAGGAAGAAACUGCAGGUACAGGAAUGAACUUACGUGAUCCUCAUUUCAAGGAGAAGAAGGAGAAGUUGAAGAAGGAGGAGAAGGAGAAGGAUGAGAAGAAAAAGGAGAACAGGAAGGAGAAAGAGGAGGAAAAUGAGAAGGAGAAGAAGAGAAGGAACAGCAGCAGUUGCAGGAGGAGGAGAAAGAGGAGGAGGAGGAGGAGGGAGUGUGCAGAAGCUGGGGGGGAUUCCAAUGUCGGAAGCAUUUUUAGCAUACAACAACGUCCAAGUGGAUUACUACGAAUGCCUAGACCUCUGUGGCAAACAGUGCUUAUACUAUUAUGAAAUGGUCAAGAGAUGAAGCAGAGAGAAGGAGAAAGAGAGAAAGAAAGAGAGAAAGAGAGCGGGAAAGAGAAAGAAGGAAAGAAUAUCCUAUAUACUGGCGGCCCUUGUUUGCAAAAUUCAUCAGAAGAGUAGUUUCUGCCUGCUUACUCUCUCUCCUUGUGCAGAAAAGAGUUUAUAUGAGAAGCCUGACUUUAAAUGGCCUGCUUAUAAUGGAAUUUGGAUUUCAGGAGAGUCUCCACCACCAUCAACCAUAAAAGUGGUUCAUUGUAUACAAACUGCUUACAUAAACAAUAUGGUUCAUGUCAGACACCUACUGUCACUCUGGGAGUUUGGAAUUUUGGUAUCCAUCAGUCAAAGACUGUCCACAUAACCAGUGUCCGAUAAAACCUUUGGGUUGUGAGACUCUAAUGAGAUUCUCUAGUUGGUAAAACUUCUCACAACUCAUUGCUGGGGGAAUUAAAUAUGUGAUUCUACUGAGAGAGAACACUUGGAAGCCCAUGCCUGAUUUCCCCCUAGACUUCACUCCUUACACGUCUUCCUUUUGCCAGUUGUGUUUGUUUUGUGUCCUGUUCCUGCAAUAAAUCAUAACUGUAAAUACAACUA